rnacentral:rRNA from 1 species
UACAGAGGUCUCAAGCGUUGUUCGGAUUCAUUGGGUUUAAAGGGUCCGUAGGCGGUUUUGUAAGUCAGUGGUGAAAGCCCAUCGCUCAACGGUGGAACGGCCAUUGAUACUGCAAAACUUGAAUUAUUGGGAAGUAACUAGAAUAUGUAGUGUAGCGGUGAAAUGCUUAGAUAUUACAUGGAAUACCAAUUGCGAAGGCAGGUUACUAUCAAUAUAUUGACGCUGAUGGACGAAAGCGUGGGGAGCGAACAGGA